CAGAGGCUCAGCCCUGCUCUCCUGAUCUGCCCCAAUACAAAGGACGGUUUGGUCGAAUGACUCCCGACAUGGGAAUGUGACUCAUGAUCCAGUGUUGGGAACAGUGUUCUCCUACACAGAUCCCAAACUCUCUAAAUAACCUAAUGCAGGGCCGUGAAAUCAGUGAUGGGGUUUUAUCCAGGAAUCCUCCACCACACCCAGAUGGUCUGUGAGUUUUAAAUGGGAAACAGUCCCAGCUGAACCCCUAGUCCUGCCUGGCCUAUUCCCCUAGAAGGAUGAUGUUCUAUCCUCUAUUCAGACUUGCCAUCUUAGGAGUCUCUCUGGACCAACUCAUUUAAAAAUGUGGGACUAGAAAUGGAAACAACAAUAAAAAAUCCCUGUUGGUGGCUUGCCCAGGGAUCCUUACCUUUUGGUAGAUUUUGGUUUUCCACAAGGUUGGUAAAGAUGGAAUCCCCACCAGGAAGCACAGGAACAGAAGAAGCAACCACAACCCACACACGAUGGUGAGGUUGUGGUCACUAUCUAAGAAUGCUGAGCAGAUGCUCAAAAACAACUCAAUAUGGCUAUUCAGAAAUGAGAGAACAUUCCAUUGACUGAACUCCAUUUUCUGAAUCGCAAGGCUGCCUGAGGCAACUGAGCUCUGAGAGUGUCCACACUUGCCUAUAAUCCCAGGCCUGUGUCACAGAGCACUGAAGAGUCACAAAGGGUUUCAGAGGGUGGGGGAGGGGACAUGAAGAGGGUGUGCCCAUGGCCCCUUCCCCCCACCAGCCCAGCUGAUCUCUCCAUCCAUCCUGGGCCCUCCAGAUAUUACCUGGGCCCCCUUUACUGUUUGGAGAGCUUGACUUUGGUUUCACCAAUUCCACUGCCUCGAAGUCUGAAAUGCUCCCUGGAAUUUUUGCUAGUACCCAGACAUUUACACUCAGAAUCAUAUAUGUCCUCAAAUCCAUCUUUCCUUUAGAAUGUUUUUGCCUUACAUGAACCCUGAUACAGAACUUAAAGUUCUUCUUUACUCAUUUGGUUUUGUGAAUGUUGAAUAACAAAUUUUAGUUUUUUGCUUCAGUCAGCCUUUACCGUCUUCAGCCAGUGGGGCUGACUCAAAUAAUUGAAAUGAAUGAUUCAUUAUUCAACAUUCACAAGACUAAAAUCAGUACGGGCAUACCUCACUUAAUGAAAGGGACAUGUUUUGAGAAAUGCAUCAUUAGGCACUUUCACUGUUGUGUGAACAUCACACAAUGUACUUACACAAACCUAAGUGGUAGAGCCUACUACACACCCAGGCUAUGUGGUGCUACCCAUAUGGGACCACUGUCAUAUGUGUGGUCCAUUAGUGACCGAAACAUCGUUAAUAUUGUUACAUGGUGCGUGACUGUGGUGGAUGACAAUGACAAAAUGGAGUACCAUUUUCAAGGCUUCUAAAAUGGAGCUGGGAGGCCAUUAAGGAAGUGGGGCUUAUGCUUGUACACCACAUCCACCACCAGAUGUUAACUGAACUUUUGAGCUUUACCUGACAGCAGAGGUCACAUCUUGAAGUGUUUCCUCAUUCCAAGAAGGGGCAGUCUGCCUAGGACCAACUAUGUUCUGGCAAGUCAGCUCACCCCAUGCCAGAACCAGUCAUUAACUGUUCACUGUAGACCUUUGUAAGCCUGUGUCCUUUCCUUUUAUCUACCCCUGCCUCCUUUGUCUUCCUAGGAGCACAUUUGAGCUUCUACUCGAAUCUACAUCUCCUGAAUUGCAAUUCUUGAGACCCCAAAUAAACUUUUUGGUUCUUUUGCAGUUUAUGCCUCUUAUUUGCUGACUUUACAUGGUGACAGAAGUGGGAUCCCUAGCUACUGACCUUCAAUUCUGGUGCCACUUCACAGACACAAGCAAGGUGCCUGCAAAGAAUCUUUUGUGCUCUGUCAUCUCCUCCUGGUGGCUCUGGUUCCUGGUGGUAAGUCCUCCUGGGCCUGGACCUCCCAUUUUUGGUAGAGGUCCAGACUCUUUAUGUAGGCGUCCUUUGAUAGUGGUUCUGGCCAUCCUUCCAUUGUCAGCUUUGUUAGAAACUUCUGUUUCUUUCACUCCUUUUUUGGGCCUUUGAUCCUUGGGUAAGUUCAUACAAAUGAGAAAUCUAUUUUCUAAGAGGACCACCAAAGAACAGCCCCACUCUGGGACUCCUGCUGGUUUUGUCUUUAAAGAAUACAGACCUUCAACAUGUAGAUUUUUGUCCCACUGGGCUCAGAUUACUCAGGGUGAUUUAAAGCUUCACUGGCCUAAAUGGGGCUCCUUUGAAAUUCCUAAAUUGGUUUAUCUGUGCACUCAAUUGGAAAAAGCCUAUCAAACCAAACAAAUAAAAUGGGAAACUUUUUAAAAUUGGUAUCUUGAGGCCUCUAAAUGAAACACUGAAAAGGACACUUCCUUGCAAGCCAUAACAAUGUCAUAACUAAGAAUUUCAAAUGAUUAAAUGUAAAUGCCAUCGAUAAAAGAAUAUUAACUCCUCCUGUAUUUGUCAGGGUUCUCUGGAGAACCAAGGAG
rnacentral:lncRNA from 1 species